rnacentral:rRNA from 1 species
CCUACUGGUGGCAUCAUUGAGGCAUCUUGGUCAAUGGGCUUACGCCUGAACCAGCCAAGUCGCGUGAGGUUCUACUUCCCUAUGUGUUGUCCCCCUCUUUUUUCCUUUCUUCCCGCCGGCUACGUGUAGCCGGACUGAGAGUACCUGAAGAAAAAGCAUCGGCUAACUCCGUGCCAGCAGCCGCGGUAAUACGGAGGAUGCGAGCGUUAUCCGGAUUUAUUGGGUUUAAAGGGUGCGUAGGCGGAAUGCCAAGUCAGCGGUAAAAUCGCGGGGCUCAACCUCGCUCCGCCGUUGAAACUGGCGUUCUUGAGUGGGCGAGAAGUAUGCGGAAUGCGUGGUGUAGCGGUGAAAUGCAUAGAUAUCACGCAGAACUCCGAUUGCGAAGGCAGCAUACCGGCGCCCAACUGACGCUGAAGCACGAAAGCGUGGGUAUCGAACAGGAUUAGAUACCCCUGUAGUC